AUUGAACGCUGGCGGCAGGCUUAACACAUGCAAGUCGAGCGAGCGGCGGACGGGUGAGUAAUGUCUGGGAAACUGCCCGCUGGAGGGGGAUAACUACUGGAAACGGUAGCUAAUACCGCCUACCAUCGGAUGUGCCCAGAUGGGAUUAGCUAGUAGGGGGGGUAACGGCUCACCAAGGCGACGAUCCCUAGCUGGUCUGAGAGGAUGACCAGCCACACUGGUACUGAGACACGGCCCAGACUCCUACGAGAGUCAGCAGUGGGGAAUAUUGCCAAAUGGGUGAAAGCCUGAGGCAGCCAUGCCGCGUGAUUGAAGAAGGCCUUCGGGUUGUAAAGCUCUUUCGUGAGGGAGGCGUUACUCACAGAGGAAGCACCGGCUAACUCCGUGCCAGCAGCCGCGGUAAGAC
rnacentral:rRNA from 1 species